rnacentral:rRNA from 1 species
UACAGAGGUCUCAAGCGUUGUUCGGAUUCAUUGGGCGUAAAGGGUGUGUAGGUGGCGCGCUAAGUCGGGUGUGAAAUUUCGGAGCUUAACUCCGAAACUGCAUUCGAUACUGGCGUGCUUGAGGACUGGAGAGGAGACUGGAAUUCAUGGUGUAGCAGUGAAAUGCGUAGAGAUCAUGAGGAAGACCAGUGGCGAAGGCGGGUCUCUGGACAGUUCCUGACACUGAGACACGAAGGACUAGGGGAGCAAACGGG